GAUGAGCGCUGGCGGCGUGCCUAAUACAUGCAAGUCGAGCGAAUGGAUCAAGAGCUUGCUCUUAUGAAGUUAGCGGCGGACGGGUGAGUAACACGUGGGUAACCUGCCCAUAAGACUGGGAUAACUCCGGGAAACCGGGGCUAAUACCGGAUAACAUUUUGAACCGCAUGGUUCGAAAUUGAAAGGCGGCUUCGGCUGUCACUUAUGGAUGGACCCGCGUCGCAUUAGCUAGUUGGUGAGGUAACGGCUCACCAAGGCAACGAUGCGUAGCCGACCUGAGAGGGUGAUCGGCCACACUGGGACUGAGACACGGCCCAGACUCCUACGGGAGGCAGCAGUAGGGAAUCUUCCGCAAUGGACGAAAGUCUGACGGAGCAACGCCGCGUGAGUGAUGAAGGCUUUCGGGUCGUAAAACUCUGUUGUUAGGGAAGAACAAGUGCUAGUUGAAUAAGCUGGCACCUUGACGGUACCUAACCAGAAAGCCACGGCUAACUACGUGCCAGCAGCCGCCGUAA
rnacentral:rRNA from 1 species